rnacentral:piRNA from 1 species
UAUAAAUGAUGUUCAUUUUGAACCACAUCC